rnacentral:rRNA from 1 species
UGGGGAAUAUUGCACAAUGGGCGCAAGCCUGAUGCAGCCAUGCCGCGUGUAUAAGAAGGCCUUCGGGUUGUAAAGUACUUUCAGCGGGGAGGAAGGGAGUAAAGUUAAUACCUUUGCUCAUUGACGUUACCCGCAGAAGAAGCACCGGCUAACUCCGUGCCAGCAGCCGCGGUAAUACGGAGGGUGCAAGCGUUAAUCGGAAUUACUGGGCGUAAAGCGCACGCAGGCGGUUUGUUAAGUCAGAUGUGAAAUCCCCGGGCUCAACCUGGGAACUGCAUCUGAUACUGGCAAGCUUGAGUCUCGUAGAGGGGGGUAGAAUUCCAGGUGUAGCGGUGAAAUGCGUAGAGAUCUGGAGGAAUACCGGUGGCGAAGGCGGCCCCCUGGACGAAGACUGACGCUCAGGUGCGAAAGCGUGGGGAGCAAACAGG